UCAUUCCAUCUUCCAGAGAACCUUAGAUAUCUGAUUAGAUCAGUAGUUUCAUGUGUGUUCCAUGGACACUGAGUGAAAACAUAUUGAUUGUAAAUUGUGUGUAUGGUGAAAUUUGACAUUUUUUAGCAUGAUUAAGAGAUAUUUUAGCCUAUAAUUUUGAACUGGCCAAUUCAUCUGAUCACGAGGCCUGAACAUAUGCUGUUCAUUUUGCUGAAAUGUUCAUUAUGUUCCUUGCUGUGCUUCCUGACCUACUGUGCCUCAUCACAAACCCCAAGCGGAAACAUUUGAUAACAAUUAAAGGACUUUCUAAAAGGAUUAGUAAACAAAAAAUAGUUGAUGCCAGCAAAACCAGCUAUCUCAGUGACGACAACUAAAUGAGGUUUUAUUAAAAACACAUCAUUUACAAAGAAUACUAGCCAGUCAUAAUUGGUCCCACUCCCACGAUGGCUGCCAAAGUUACAUCUGACAAUGGUUGUUAAUUGUUAUUUGAGCACUGCGAAAGUGCGAAUCCGGCCGUGUUUAAUGAAUUCUCCACUGCCGCCUUCCGCAUGGGCCACCUUCAAUUGAAAAGCUUCAUACAGUGUUAAAGGGGGAGACAUUGCGGCUUGAUCUGACAGCUCUCAACAUUCAACGAGUAAGAGAUCACGGGCUACCAACAAACGCUAAAAUGCUGGCUUUAUUCGGAAAACCUUAACCGUCAAGUUUCGACGAACUACUUCCAUUAAUACCAUUAGAGAAUUCUUUCGCUCCAUUACGCAAUGGCGUGUUUGUAUAAGGUCGUUAAGGCAAUGAAGUACGUGUACGAGUCAUACGACAUUGACCAGUUUAUCGGCGGAGUGUCCGAAUACCCGGGGCUGUGCUCGGCUCCACAUUCGCAAAUAUCUUCGCAAAUCAGUUUACGAAUUUGAGGUGGACCGAUCGCUACUUCUACAAUGUCAAUCAACCCAUCGGCUUUAGUUCAGGUCAACUAGAUGAAAUUCAAAAAGUCUCUUUUAGCGCGAAUCGUCUGCGACAACAGUUAUGGCAUAGGUCAAAUCCAACCGAAGCUAUGCGCACUCCCCACGAAUUUUACAACAGAUUUGCACCGUGCAGCAAUAUUCCAGGCAUCGACUUCUCCAAGAUGUUUCUGCUAUAAAUAUUGAAAGAACCACGAUGAUGAGUUUACCCAAAGUCCACAGGGCGAAUACUAAUGCCCGAAGAAAACUAAACUGAACAACCAAGCCUCAACAAACCGAUGACAAGUUGUUUGUGCGUUUGAGGUUUUUCAGCGUCGCCUUUGCGCGGAUGUUAUGGUCCGAUAGAAAAUCUUUUUGAAAAUUGUCUUCCUAUUUAUUUGAUGACGUAAACACAGCAGCAUAUCACUAUUUCUCUUCGUGCGAAACACUUGAAAACCACCGCGAA